UACGAAGGGGGCUAGCGUUGCUCGGAAUCACUGGGCGUAAAGGGUGCGUAGGCGGGUCUUUAAGUCAGGGGUGAAAUCCUGGAGCUCAACUCCAGAACUGCCUUCGAUACUGGAAAGCUCGAGUCCGGGAGAGGUGAGUGGAACUGCGAGUGUAGAGGUGAAAUUCGUAGAUAUUCGCAAGAGCACCAGUGGCGAAGGCGGCUCACUGGCCCGUUACUGACGCUGAGGUGCGAAAGCGUGGGGAGCAAACAGG
rnacentral:rRNA from 1 species